rnacentral:rRNA from 1 species
CACAUGCAAGUCGAACGAGAGAAGAGAAGCUUGCUUUUCUGAUCUAGUGGCGGACGGGUGAGUAACACGUGAGCAAUCUGCCUUUCAGAGGGGGAUACCGAUUGGAAACGAUCGUUAAUACCGCAUAAUAUAAUUGAACCGCAUGAUUUGAUUAUCAAAGAUUUAUCGCUGAAAGAUGAGCUCGCGUCUGAUUAGCUAGUUGGUAAGGUAACGGCUUACCAAGGCGACGAUCAGUAGCCGGACUGAGAGGUUGAUCGGCCACAUUGGGACUGAGACACGGCCCAGACUCCUACGGGAGGCAGCAGUGGGGAAUAUUGCACAAUGGAGGAAACUCUGAUGCAGCGAUGCCGCGUGAGGGAAGAAGGUUUUAGGAUUGUAAACCUCUGUCUUCAGGGACGAAAAAAGACGGUACCUGAGGAGGAAGCUCCGGCUAACUACGUGCCAGCAGCCGCGGUAAUACGUAGGGAGCGAGCGUUGUCCGGAAUUACUGGGUGUAAAGGGAGCGUAGGCGGGAUCGCAAGUCAGAUGUGAAAACUAUGGGCUUAACCCAUAAACUGCAUUUGAAACUGUGGUUCUUGAGUGAAGUAGAGGUAAGCGGAAUUCCUAGUGUAGCGGUGAAAUGCGUAGAUAUUAGGAGGAACAUCAGUGGCGAAGGCGGCUUACUGGGCUUUAACUGACGCUGAGGCUCGAAAGCGUGGGGAGCAAACAGGAUUAGAUACCCUGGUAGUCCACGCCGUAAACGAUGAUUACUAGGUGUGGGGGGACUGACCCCUUCCGUGCCGCAGCAAACGCAAUAAGUAAUCCACCUGGGGAGUACGACCGCAAGG